AUUGAACGCUGGCGGCAGGCCUAACACAUGCAAGUCGAGCGGAUGAAGGGAGCUUGCUCCUGGAUUCAGCGGCGGACGGGUGAGUAAUGCCUAGGAAUCUGCCCGGUAGUGGGGGAUAACGUCCGGUAACGGGCGCUAAUACCGCAUACGUCCUGAGGGAGAAAGUGGGGGAUCUUCGGACCUCACGCUAUCAGAUGAGCCUAGGUCGGAUUAGCUAGUUGGUGGGGUAAAGGCCUACCAAGGCGACGAUCCGUAACUGGUCUGAGAGGAUGAUCAGUCACACUGGAACUGAGACACGGUCCAGACUCCUACGGGAGGCAGCAGUGGGGAAUAUUGGACAAUGGGCGAAAGCCUGAUCCAGCCAUGCCGCGUGUGUGAAGAAGGUCUUCGGAUUGUAAAGCACUUUAAGUUGGGAGGAAGGGCAGUAAGUUAAUACCUGGCUGUUUUGACGUUACCAACAGAAUAAGCACCGGCUAACUUCGUG
rnacentral:rRNA from 1 species